UACGAAGGGGGCUAGCGUUGCUCGGAAUCACUGGGCGUAAAGGGUGCGUAGGCGGGUCUUUAAGUCAGGGGUGAAAUCCUGGAGCUCAACUCCAGAACUGCCUUUGAUACUGAAGAUCUUGAGUCCGGGAGAGGUGAGUGGAACUGCGAGUGUAGAGGUGAAAUUCGUAGAUAUUCGCAAGAACACCAGUGGCGAAGGCGGCUCACUGGCCCGGUACUGACGCUGAGGAGCGAAAGCUAGGGGAGCAAACGGG
rnacentral:rRNA from 1 species